CACGUAGGGCGCGAGCGUUGUCCGGCAUUAUUGGGCGUAAAGAGCUCGUAGGCGGCCUGUUGCGUCCGCUGUGAAAGCCCGGGGCUUAACCCCGGGUCGGCAGUGGAUACGGGCAGGCUAGAGGUAGGUAGGGGAGAAUGGAAUUCCCGGUGUAGCGGUGAAAUGCGCAGAUAUCGGGAGGAACACCGGUGGCGAAGGCGGUUCUCUGGGCCUUACCUGACGCUGAGGAGCGAAAGCGUGGGGAGCGAACAGG
rnacentral:rRNA from 1 species